GUCAGGUCAACGUGCAUUACUCGUAGACACUGUUGUUUUGUGAACCUGUACUCUAAUCAUGGAGGUAAAUCCUGAUUUACAGAUGGAGAGAGAUGGCGCUACUUUUGACCCAAUAGAACUGACUUACAUUAAAGAUGGCGGUGCCAAGGUUACACAACGAAGACGUUAUAUAGAAUCUUUGGUGUGCGACGAUCCCGAUUUUCAACAGGAGGAUCCUAACUUCCUAUCGAGAGAUGAGUUAUACACAUCAGCUGUCAGAAGAGGUGUGAUGAUAGAAAAGAAAAUAUUACAGUUGAAUAUUACGGAUGCAAAAGAGCAGUACUGGUUUAGAGAUGCAGCUAUACGUAAAAGACAAGGAACAGCAAUCGCACUUAAUAACAUAAUGUUUGUUCCAACCCUUAUUGGCCAAGCGUCAGAGGAACAAAAAAGAAAAUGGCUACCUUUAGCAACAAAUCUUCACAUUAUUGGAACAUUUGCUCAGACAGAAUUGGGACAUGGGACUUUCGUCAGAGGGCUUGAGACAACAUCAACAUAUGAUCCAAAGGCACAGGAAUUCGUUGUUCAUAGUCCUACACUAACAUCUACAAAGUUCUGGCCAGGAAACUUGGGUAAAACAGUAACACAUGCAAUCGUGAUGGCGCAGUUAAUUACCAAUGGUAAACAUUAUGGAGUACACCCAUUUAUUGUUCCACUGAGAAGCCUGGAAAAUCACAUGCCACUACCAGGAGUGACUGUUGGUGAUAUUGGACCAAAGAUGGGUUUUAAUAGCAACGAUAAUGGGUUUCUGAGACUAGAACAUGUUCGCAUUCCAAGAGACAAUAUGUUAAUGAAGCACGCACAGGUGUUGGCGGAUGGUACAUAUGUCAAACCACCAACAAAUAAGCUGGUAUACGGUACACUCGUUUAUGCCAGGGUCGGGUAUCUGUCUGCUUGUACUGAUUUUCUAGCAAUGGCGUGCACCAUUGUCACUAGAUACAGCGCUGUGCGCAGACAGAGUGAGAUGCAACCAGGAGCCAGAGAGGCUCAAAUUCUUGACUACCAAUCUCAGCAAUUGAAGAUAUUACCCUACAUUGCCACCACGUACGCAUUUUAUGCAGUUCAACGACGUGUCAGCGGAAUGGUACGACAGACUUCAACAGCAAAUGGCAACCGGAAACUACAGCCUCCUACAAAAAUGCCAUGCCGUGACUGCUGGACUCAAAGGAUUUGUUUCUUAUGCAAUGAACUCUGGUAUAGAAACAUGUCGUUUAGCAUGCGGCGGACAUGGAUACUCGCAUGCAAGUGGGAUACCAGAGUUGUAUACGUAUUCAACUCAUCUAAUUACAGCGGAAGGAGAGAAUACUGUAAUGCUUUUACAAACUGCGAGGUAUUUAAUAAAGUGCGCAGGAAGUGCAUUGUCCGGCGAUGUAAUGUCUGGACAAGUUCCAUACUUGAAUGAACCCAUAAAAGAGAAAUGUGCGAUAAAGAGUGAAUCAGAUCUGUUGAAGUUAGAUAUAUUGGUCGACAUAUAUAAACACAGAGCUCAGAGAUUAGUGAUGGAGGCAGCUAAAAAGUUACACCGUGAUAUUUCUGAGGGCCAAUCCCAGCACAAUGCAUGGAAUAAUUGCCAUCUUCAACUUCUCAAUGCAGCAAUGGCUCAUUGUCACUACAUUACCGUGAGUGCAUUUGUUGGUAGCGUUAAAGACACAAAGAUGAGCGACUCGCUGAAACUAGUCCUAACAUCGUUAUGUCAGCUAUACGCGCUGUAUGGCAUUUAUCAAGAUUCCAGAGACUUCAUGAUGGAUGGUUACCUCUCUGGACAUAACAUCACCUCUAUCACACACCACAUCACGUCAAUGCUGGCAACUCUUCGCCCCAAUGCUGUUGCCUUAGUAGAUGCGUUUGACAUCCGUGAUGAGAUACUGUGUUCGAUCCUAGGACGGUACGAUGGCAAUGUAUAUGAGAAUAUGUAUAAAUGGGCCAAGAAAUCGCCACUCAACAAAGACGAGGUCCACGACUCCUACUACAAGUAUUUGAGACCAUUUUUACGUAGCCAGACUUCAAAAUUAUAAAAUCAACGCACACCCAGAUUCUUUUCAAUAUUCUCAAUAUUGUCAAGAUUCUUUUUCUUCAUCUAAAGGUUGUAUGGGUUUCCGGUUUAUAUUCUACGAGAUAUGUUAAAAGGAUGGUACGAUGAUCCAGUUUGUUAACUUACUUAUCUGCAUUAAAUGUUAACAAUUGUAGACCAAAUAUGACCAGAUACAAGAAAUGGCAAGCAAAUAUUAGCCGCUUAUUAUCACAUCCGUGAUCUGAUGAUCAUAGCAGAAUCCUUUGGAUAGUAUUAUUGCCGAACAUUAUUAGAUUUGUGCUAUUUGCGUAUUGCUCUCCGAC